rnacentral:misc_RNA from 1 species
UCCAGAAAUAUGUAAGCCAUGCCUGCUUAAAACGCACAUCUUCAGACUCCUCUUGGCUCAAUUCUGAAAGCAAUUUAACUUCUUAUAUAUCAUUUAACCAACACCAAUCUAACUAAAAAUUAAACCCAACAGUAGUGCAUUGUAAUAAACAGAAUUCAUAAAAGCAAGUGUAAGAACAAAUCAUAGGCAUAGGAAAUCAGCACGCUGCUUUGUGAGGGUCAUUGCACUAAAAGAAAACUCUUUACAUAAUUAUGAGUUGAAUAAUGAACUUACCAAAUGCUUCAAACUGUCCUUCAGCAGGUAGCUUAAUUUCAUCUGCUUUAAGCAAAUUUGGGCGUCGUUGCUGAGCCAUGGCAAGUGCUACUGCAUCUUCUACCUUUAAUGAAGCUAGUUCCCGCAGACCUUUCUCAACUAGAAGCAUGCUUUCAAUGUUUCCAACUCCAGAAAGUUCAUUCAUGUCCCGUAAAACCUUCUCUCUUUCACUUAAAUCGUUAUUUGUUGAUGAGCUCUCCUCUUUAGCUCGCUGUCCAGCAGCUAGUACUACUUCAACAGGAAGAGGUGCAAAGGAUGACCAGUAUUCGUAUUUUGCUCCAGCAAGCUCUCCAUGUAUACCAUGUUGAACACACAAGUUCCAAUACCGUGCAAGCCAACACCUCUUUAGAACAACUUCUUCCAUUUCCUCAUCCGUCAGAAUCAUUCUCUGUGUUAUACUCCUAAGUAAUUUAACUUCAGAAACAGCUUCAAGGAGCUGCUCCAUAGCAGAUGUUGCCUCAUCCUUAGCAGUCUCAGCUUCUGUCCUAAGAGCAGCAAUAUCUUCAGGUUUACUAGUUUGUUCUGCAACUCUCAGAGCAGCCUCCCUUUGCUGAAGAGCUGCCUCCUUUCUGCUUAAAAGGCGAGCUUCUAAUGUUACACCUUCUCCAAGAGUAGCAACCUGCUUCUCAAGCUGCCUAGCUCUUGCAUCUGCUUCCUCAUACCUCUCCUCUGCAAGUCGAAGCUUUUCAAUUAAACUAUCAUUUUCUUCCAGCAGCAUAUCAACCUCGUCUUGUAAAGCAGAAGCUGAAUGAUGGCUGCCAGUAUCUCUUAGAUUUGUAUUUCCAAAAUCCAUUGAAAACCUUUUAUCUUUCCGAUUGUCAACUGAACGCUCUGGUGAAAUCACUGGAGAGACUGGCCUUAAAGAUAUAGGUACACUAGAGGGAAUGGGCAUUGUCUUGAUGUUUGGACGGCCAGCUGAAGUAGAACGAGCAGAUGGAGGUUGUUCGGUGGAGCUGGGGGAUGAUAGAACAGACAUUGAAGAACGAACAGAUAAAGGCUGUCCUAAAGAAUUCAUGGAUGAUCGCCCAACCACUAAAGAACGAGCAGACAAAGGCUCUUCCAUAGUGUUUGUAACCUGAGGGGGUGGGGAUACUGAACGAAAUGGAAUUGAUGAUGGUUGUUCCACAGUGUUGACAGAUAGUAAUGGUCUACUGCCUGCUGCUGAAUGUGUAGAUUGAGGUUGUUCUUGUUUGGUACGAACUACCAUAGGAGAACGGGAUCUCAUUGACUUUCCACCAGCACGUCCAAUAGUCACGGGACCAGUAACUAAUCCAUAAUCAUUCAAAAGGUCAUCCUUAUCAUUGUCCUCAUCAACUAUUUGUGUUGGGGGCUGUGACUGCGGUUUCUUUUUAAGUACAGGGCUAUUUGCUAUUGGCAUGGUCCUUGGAGACUGUGGGCGCGGCAUUUUUUUUCCACCAGCAAGGCCAAUGGAGCCAAUGCCACUAGCAUUAUUUCUAUAAUCAAAGGAAAGAUCAUCCUCUUCACUGUCAUCAUCAUCCGCUAGUUGGUGUGACAUCACCUGUGCAAGCCUUUGCGCCGCGGCUUUUGUCUGUGCUUUCCUCACGUUAGGCAUGCCAGCUGAUCCCGUCCGAACAUGGCGAUGAUGUACUGGGGACAUCAACGGCGAUGAAGCUUGCAAUGAUUCUGCACUGCUUGUCUGCCUUGAAUACAUCAAAUUCAUCCUGUCAUCCAUACCUGGGAUUGAUCAGAGAAAAAUCUGGAUUUGAUUGCUUAAAUCAAACAAGAAAACCAUUAAUUGGUGUAUGAAUUGGCCAUGGCUUUAAGAUGGAAAGUGAAUUAACGAAUGAUCAUUGACUUCUUUCCUAGAAAAUUCGCAUUAACACCAAAAAAUAUCAAUUGAAAUUAGCCAAUUCUAAAAGUCAAGUCAAUAAUCAAAUCAAAUUUGAUGAUUUUUUUUUUAAACAAAAGUAAAAAAUGAAUUUUUUUUCCUCUGAAAUUUCUGGUUUAGAUGGAAAUGAAAUGAAUCAUUUUAGCGAAUGGAAUGAUAUGAUCCUAUUGUCAAGGCAAAAAGGAGGGAAGGAAGGAAU